AACGCACGAGACCUGCGGACCUGCGGAGGGAUCAUUACCGAGUGCGGGCCCCUCCGGGUCCAACCUCCCACCCGUGUCUACCGUCCCUUGUUGCUUCGGCGGGCCCGCCCGUUGUGGCCGCCGGGGGGCUCUCCCGCCCCCGGGCCCGCGCCCGCCGGAGACACCAGCCCGAACACUGUGUGAAGGUUGCCGUCUGAGUGGAUUAUCGAAUCGUUAAAACUUUCAACAAUGGAUCUCUAG
rnacentral:misc_RNA from 1 species